rnacentral:rRNA from 1 species
GAUGAACGCUGGCGGCGUGCCUAAUACAUGCAAGUCGAGCGAACAGACGAGGAGCUUGCUCCUCUGACGUUAGCGGCGGACGGGUCAGUAAAACGUGGAUAACCUACCUAUAAGACUGGGUUAACUUCGGGAAACCGGUGCUAAUACCGGAUAAUAUAUUGAACCGCAUGGUUCAAUAGUGAAAGACGGUUUUGCUGUCACUUCUAGAUGGAUCCGCGCCGCAUUAGCUAGUUGGUAAGGUAACGGCUUACCAAGGCGACGAUGCGUAGCCGACCUGAGAGGGUGAACGGCCACACUGGGACUGAGACACGGUCCAGACUCCUACGGGAGGCAGCAGUAGGGAAUCUUGCGAGAUGGGCGAAAGCCUGACGGAGCGACGCCGCGUGAGUGAUGAAGGUCUUCGGAUCGUAUAACUCUGUUAUUAGGGAAGACCAAAUGUGUAAGUAACUAUGCACGUCUUGACGGUACCUAAUCAGAAAGCCACGGCUAACUACGUG